rnacentral:rRNA from 1 species
GGCGUGCUUAACACAUGCAAGUCGAACGGAAAGGCCCUGCUUUUGUGGGGUGCUCGAGUGGCGAACGGGUGAGUAACACGUGAGUAACCUGCCCUUGACUUUGGGAUAACUUCAGGAAACUGGGGCUAAUACCGGAUAGGAGCUCCUGCUGCAUGGUGGGGGUUGGAAAGUUUCGGCGGUUGGGGAUGGACUCGCGGCUUAUCAGCUUGUUGGUGGGGUAGUGGCUUACCAAGGCUUUGACGGGUAGCCGGCCUGAGAGGGUGACCGGCCACAUUGGGACUGAGAUACGGCCCAGACUCCUACGGGAGGCAGCAGUGGGGAAUAUUGCACAAUGGGCGGAAGCCUGAUGCAGCAACGCCGCGUGCGGGAUGACGGCCUUCGGGUUGUAAACCGCUUUCGCCUGUGACGAAGCGUGAGUGACGGUAAUGGGUAAAGAAGCACCGGCUAACUACGUGCCAGCAGCCGCGGUGAUACGUAGGGUGCGAGCGUUGUCCGGAUUUAUUGGGCGUAAAGGGCUCGUAGGUGGUUGAUCGCGUCGGAAGUGUAAUCUUGGGGCUUAACCCUGAGCGUGCUUUCGAUACGGGUUGACUUGAGGAAGGUAGGGGAGAAUGGAAUUCCUGGUGGAGCGGUGGAAUGCGCAGAUAUCAGGAGGAACACCAGUGGCGAAGGCGGUUCUCUGGGCCUUUCCUGACGCUGAGGAGCGAAAGCGUGGGGAGCGAACAGGCUUAGAUACCCUGGUAGUCCACGCUGUAAACGGUGGGUACUAGGUGUGGGGUCCAUUCCACGGGUUCCGUGCCGUAGCUAACGCUUUAAGUACCCCGCCUGGGGAGUACGGCCGCAAGGCUAAAACUCAAAGGAAUUGACGGGGCCCCGCACAAGCGGCGGAGCAUGCGGAUUAAUUCGAUGCAACGCGUAGAACCUUACCUGGGUUUGACAUGGAUCGGGAGUGCUCAGAGAUGGGUGUGCCUCUUUUGGGGUCGGUUCACAGGUGGUGCAUGGCUGUCGUCAGCUCGUGUCGUGAGAUGUUGGGUUAAGUCCCGCAACGAGCGCAACCCUUGUUCACUGUUGCCAGCACGUUAUGGUGGGGACUCAGUGGAGACCGCCGGGGUCAACUCGGAGGAAGGUGGGGAUGACGUCAAGUCAUCAUGCCCCUUAUGUCCAGGGCUUCACGCAUGCUACAAUGGCUGGUACAGAGAGUGGCGAGCCUGUGAGGGUGAGCGAAUCUCGGAAAGCCGGUCUCAGUUCGGAUUGGGGUCUGCAACUCGACCUCAUGAAGUCGGAGUCGCUAGUAAUCGCAGAUCAGCAACGCUGCGGUGAAUACGUUCCCGGGGCUUGUACACACCGCCCGUCAAGUCAUGAAAGUUGGUAACACCCGAAGCCGGUGGCCUAACCGUUGUGGGGGAGUCGUCGAAGGUGGGACUGGUGAUUAGCC